rnacentral:tRNA from 1 species
UUAUCUAAAUAGCUUAUGAUUAGAGCAUAACAUUGAAGAUGUUAAGGAAACCUGAGGUUUUUAGAUA